rnacentral:rRNA from 1 species
UUGCUCUCAAGAAGUUAGCGGCGGACGGGUGAGUAACACGUGGGUAACCUGCCCAUAAGACUGGGAUAACUCCGGGAAACCGGGGCUAAUACCGGAUAAUAUUUUGAACUGCAUGGUUCGAAAUUGAAAGGCGGCUUCGGCUGUCACUUAUGGAUGGACCCGCGUCCCAUUAGCUAGUUUGUGAGGUAACGGCUCACCCAGGGAACGAUGCGUAGCCGACCUGAAAGGGUGGUCCGCCACACUGGGACUGAAACCC